GCAGGCCUAACACAUGCAAGUCGAGCGGAUGAAGGGAGCUUGCUCCCUGAUUUAGCGGCGGACGGGUGAGUAAUGCCUAKGAAUCUGCCUGGUAGUGGGGGAUAACGUUCCGAAAGGAACGCUAAUACCGCAUACGUCCUACGGGAGAAAGCAGGGGACCUUCGGGCCUUGCGCUGUCAGAUGAGCCUAGGUCGGAUUAGCUAGUUGGUGAGGUAAUGGCUCACCAAGGCGACGAUCCGUAACUGGUCUGAGAGGAUGAUCAGUCACACUGGAACUGAGACACGGUCCAGACUCMUACGGGAGGCAGCAGUGGGGAAUAUUGGACAAUGGGCGAAAGCCUGAUCCAGCCAUGCCGCGUGUGUGAAGAAGGUCUUCGGAUUGUAAAGCACUUUAAGUUGGGAGGAAGGGCAGUAAGCUAAUACCUUGCUGUUUUGACGUUACCGACAGAAUAAGCACCGGCUAACUUCGUGCCAGCAGCCGCGGUAAUACGAAGGGUGCAAGCGUUAAUCGGAAUUACUGGGCGUAAAGCGCGCGUAGGUGGUUCGUUAAGUUGGAUGUGAAAGCCCCGGGCUCAACCUGGGAACUGCAUCCAAAACUGGCGAGCUAGAGUACGGUAGAGGGUGGUGGAAUUUCCUGUGUAGCGGUGAAAUGCGUAGAUAUAGGAAGGAACACCAGUGGCGAAGGCGACCACCUGGACUGAUACUACAGUAGUCGAAGCG
rnacentral:rRNA from 1 species